rnacentral:lncRNA from 1 species
AUCAAACCCUAGAUCAAAAUACAAUAGCCGACACCCCCACUCCUCUUCUCUGCGUUUGUUUUUCUUUGAGAACCCUAACCCACACCAACCGAUCUGAAUUUCCAGCUAUCUCCACCCUCUGACUCAUCCCUUCUCUGAGCAAAUGAAUGACCAGCCACCAUGACGGUGGUGGCGCACGGCGGCGCUCAGCGUCGACGCAGAAAGACAGAGGGGAAUGAGAGAGUUAGAGAGAGUGUGUGAGAGAGAGAGAGAGGAGGAGGAGGCUGACGUCGCUCCGGUGACCAGAAACGCCGCUACGGCGGCGGUGAAGAUGAUGAUGAUGACGUGAGGAUUAUGUUGUUGCCGCUGAUGUGAUAUGAUGACGAUGUGAUGAUGUUGUGGUUUUUCAGGCAAUGGCAUGCCGGCAACGACAUAUUUUUUCCGUUUACUGAUGACGGUGUUGGCUGUCGAGGAUGGCGAUGGUGGCGGUGGCGUACCGACGACGGCAGUGAACGACGGUGGUGACGGAUUCGUGUUAGGGUUUUAGCGGGCCAGAUUAGUUUGGUCAGUUCAAACUCGGGUUCGGAUGUUUAGAUCCAGUGGUUCGAUUUAGUCACGGCUCUCAGGUUAUUCACGGUCAAAAUGUUCGGGGUCAGACUCGGUUCAAGCAUAAUUUGAGUUCUGGUCAACUUCUAGUCAACAGUUGGGGGUGGUGGUGUUACUUCUUGAUUCGGGUUUCGGUUUUGGUCAACCACAGUCCACAUCAGCUCCGGUUCAGUUCCGAAAUGUUUGGUGCAAAAUAGUCACAGUGAACGGUUCGGGUCAAGGGUUGGUUCAACUCGGUUUGACUCGGUCAAACCGAGUCAACGCAGUCAACAGACGAUCAACAGAAGUCAACGAAAGACGCGGAAUACUAUAGUUGUACGCUAGCUAAUUCAAGUUCUUGGAACAAUCUCAUGGAAACACAUGUAGCUAGCUUUGCACAGGAAUAUCAAGGUUAAAUUUUUCAAACUACGGAACGGUUGGAAUAGGAGAACCCAUGGGAUUCGAGUACUUAGCGGCGUUCACUUUUUAUAAUUCUUAGCUCAAACACUUUCGCUGUGCAAUGAAGAUACCAGUCCGGUCACGCCAAUGCUCUAAUAUUUCG